CGCGCUUGGAGUGGUUAGGUGGGGGUCCCGCUCCCAUCCCCCGAGCUGUGCCGUUCGGGUCUCCUUUGCCCAGGACGGCCACACGGGGUAGCCCCUCCUCCGCCAGAGGACACGGAUGUGUCUGUUCUCGGGGAACAUCGGCCUGGCCACGGUCUAUCCCUCCCGCGUGUGGAUCCCAGAUGCCUCUGGACGGGAGCUCUGCCCAGCCGGGGCAAGGCCUGGCGAGCUGGGCCCGUCUCGGACGAGGAGUGUCGGUGGCUUCUGAGCUGUUUGGAAAUCCCUUCAGACAAGUCUUUAUUUUUCAGGGUUCCUGGGACAGAGGUGUGGCAUCGGAACAGAGGACUCCCAGCUCCAUCUCCUGGUGCCAGGGAGGGGAAUGGAGCCUUGCAGCCUUCCUCAGGAGGAAGAUAAUUCCAGAGUGUGUACGUGCCACCCCAGCACAGUGCCGUGUCCUGGAGACCAUCCACACCUGCCAUGGCUCAGCUGCCUGCACAGCAGUGGGAAGAUCUACUGGACUGGUCCUCGCUGCCAACGUGAACCCAGCACAGCCCCAGCCAUGCCAGUGGCACCCACUGGGCCUCCUUGGGGGUGAGCAUAGAGGGGACCCUGGCACCAGCACUGACCUGAUUACUCUUCUCCACUUCUGCCUGAUCCCAGGGCAGCACAGCAGGGGACGCACUACCCUCCAUGGGAUGGUCAAAUUGAUUCAUUUUUGUAUUUCUUCAGAUUUCUGUCAGAAAGAGGUGGUAGUGAAAACAUCACCUUUAGGUGACUGGUUGUAGGGUGGCACAGGAGGAGUUGCAGUCCCGUUGCCUUUAGCAAGGAUCUUCCUAAAGAGAAGCACAUCUGUGAGUGUUCCUCUAUAAUGGGCACUCCUUGAACCAGCCUCAUUGAUGCCAGCCCUGGAGAGGGAGUGACGGUGUUCUGGCUCCAUCCCAUUUGCAGUGUUUGGGACACUGUAUUAGGC
rnacentral:lncRNA from 1 species